rnacentral:rRNA from 1 species
CAGUCGAGCGGAGUGAUGGUGCUUGCACUAUCACUUAGCGGCGGACGGGUGAGUAAUGCUUAGGAAUCUGCCUAUUAGUGGGGGACAACAUUUCGAAAGGAAUGCUAAUACCGCAUACGUCCUACGGGAGAAAGCAGGGGAUCUUCGGACCUUGCGCUAAUAGAUGAGCCUAAGUCGGAUUAGCUAGUUGGUGGGGUAAAGGCCUACCAAGGCGACGAUCUGUAGCGGGUCUGAGAGGAUGAUCCGCCACACUGGGACUGAGACACGGCCCAGACUCCUACGGGAGGCAGCAGUGGGGAAUAUUGGACAAUGGGCGCAAGCCUGAUCCAGCCAUGCCGCGUGUGUGAAGAAGGCCUUAUGGUUGUAAAGCACUUUAAGCGAGGAGGAGGCUACUGAAGUUAAUACCUUCAGAUAGUGGACGUUACUCGCAGAAUAAGCACCGGCUAACUCUGUGCCAGCAGCCGCGGUAAUACAGAGGGUGCAAGCGUUAAUCGGAUUUACUGGGCGUAAAGCGCGCGUAGGCGGCUAAUUAAGUCAAAUGUGAAAUCCCCCGAGCUUAACUUGGGAAUUGCAUUCGAUACUGGUAGCUAGAGUGUGGGAGAGGAUGGUAGAAUUCCCAGGUGUAGCGGUGAAAUGCGUAGAGAUCUGGAGGAAUACCGAUGGCGAAGGCAGCCAUCUGGCCUAACACUGACGCUGAGGUGCGAAAGCAUGGGGAGCAAACAGGAUUAGAUACCCUGGUAGUCCAUGCCGUAAACGAUGUCUACUAGCCGUUGGGGCCUUUGAGGCUUUAGUGGCGCAGCUAACGCGAUAAGUAGACCGCCUGGGGAGUACGGUCGCAAGACUAAAACUCAAAUGAAUUGACGGGGGCCCGCACAAGCGGUGGAGCAUGUGGUUUAAUUCGAUGCAACGCGAAGAACCUUACCUGGCCUUGACAUAGUAAGAACUUUCCAGAGAUGGAUUGGUGCCUUCGGGAACUUACAUACAGGUGCUGCAUGGCUGUCGUCAGCUCGUGUCGUGAG